CUUUUCUACAGUCGUUUCAAAGACAGUGAUUAAUAGCAUGUCAGGGAGUUGCUUUGUAUACUAAACACUACUUGGAGUACUGUAAAUAGAUAAAACCAAAUGAUCAACAGCCUUAUAUUGAAAUAAGAACAGGUACCCAAAGGGUGCUGGGAAUCUCAGUUGUUGAAUUCUACUUUUAUUGCUGUUAAUGGUAGGUAUCAAGAGGGGAUGAAUAGCUGCCAAAUUAAAUUUGCAGCUAAUCUCAUAGUAGGAAGCAAAGACUCUAUCAUGCAGGCAGAAACCUUAUUUGGAGGAUAUAGUAAUAAAAUUCAACCCAGGCAAUACAAGCUAAUACAACCAGAAUAAAUGAACAAACAUGUAGAUGUUUGAUGGGGCUGGAGGUGUGUGGAAAGCAUCAAUGUCAAAAAUGUGCUGGAGAAUGAAGUGGGGCGAUAGAGAAAAUUGUCUGUCAGCUUAUAGUAUUACCUGGCAAUGGGGCUGAGCAGUUUGUAAGAGCAAGGCUUGUGGCUGUGAGUCUGGGCAAUGUGAAAGGGAUGACAUUCACAUCAGAGGAUGGAUGCACUUGUGAAAGAAAAAAAAAAGAUCCUUUCUAUGCCAGCACAUUUGAAACUUGUGAAUAGAAGGAUGGUGAUCUCAGGGUGAAGUGUUUAUUCAAAGUUUUGGGAUGGCUUCCACACCAGGAGUCAACACAGAAACCAGGAGUCUCCAACCUGGGAAUGAACCUGUCCAAGAAUGGAUGUACCAGCCGCACCAAGCAGUCUGGGAAGGAAGAUUGAGAGUGCACAUAACCAUUGGUUAUGGAAUAAACCUUUGGAGACUGCAGCAUUUCUAGCACUACACAAAGUAGAAGGUAUGGGGCUUUGGCAUUUCUUUUAUGUGUUUCUCCUACACCAGGUAUUUUGCCUACGAAAAUAGAGUAUGGCAAGAAAACACACUUGCAAUCCUUCUUUCAGUUUUGAUAGUUUGUGUCCACUAUUACAAUUUAAGACCAGGCAGAUUAUGCAAUUACUCAAGAUACAAGAUACACAGGCAAUCCUUACCCUAAGAAAAUUGUGCUGAUCCUACUUGUGCAUGUGGGUAGUUCUACCCAUGCAGGUGAUGCUAUUGAAAGCUGGGAAGCUCCG
rnacentral:lncRNA from 1 species